rnacentral:rRNA from 1 species
UACGUAGGGGGCAAGCGUUGUCCGGAAUCAUUGGGCGUAAAGAGCGUGUAGGCGGCCCGAUAAGUCCGCUGUGAAAGUCCAGGGCUCAACCCUGGAAUGCCGGUGGAUACUGUCGGGCUUGAGUACGGAAGAGGCGAGUGGAAUUCCUGGUGUAGCGGUGAAAUGCGCAGAUAUCAGGAGGAACACCAAUUGCGAAGGCAGCUCGCUGGGACGUUACUGACGCUGAGACGCGAAAGCGUGGGGAGCAAACAGG